AUAUUGCACAAUGGGCGCAAGCCUGAUGCAGCGACGCCGCGUGGGUGAAGAAGGUCUUCGGAUCGUAAAGCCCUUUUCUGCGUGACGAGCAAGGACGGUAGCGCAGGAAUAAGUCUCGGCUAACUACGUGCCAGCAGCCGCGGUAAUACGAAGGGGGCUAGCGUUGUUCGGAAUUACUGGGCGUAAAGCGCACGUAGGCGGAUUGUUAAGUGAGGGGUGAAAUCCCAGGGCUCAACCCUGGAACUGCCUUUCAUACUGGCAAUCUCGAGUCCGAGAGAGGUGAGUGGAAUUCCGAGUGUAGAGGUGAAAUUCGUAGAUAUUCGGAGGAACACCAGUGGCGAAGGCGGCUCACUGGCUCGGUACUGACGCUGAGGUGCGAAAGCGUGGGGAGCAAAC
rnacentral:rRNA from 1 species